rnacentral:rRNA from 1 species
GACGAACCGUGCGAACGUUGUUCGGAUUCACUGGGCUUAAAGGGCGCGUAGGCGGCUUGCCAAGUCAGGGGUGAAAUCUUUCGGCUCAACCGGAAAACAGCUUCUGAUACUGGCGGGCUUGAGGAGGGUAGGGGCAGAUGGAACUUCCGGUGGAGCGGUGAAAUGCGUAGAUAUCGUUUGGAACGCCGAUGGUGAAAACAGGUCGCUGGGGUUGUGCUGACGCUGAGACACGAAAGCCAGGGGAGCGAACGGG